GAUGAACGCUGGCGGCGUGCCUAACACAUGCAAGUCGAACGAAGCGACUCAAAGUUUUCGGACAGAGAGUUGACUGAGUGGCGGACGGGUGAGUAACACGUGGAUAACCUGCCUCAUACAGGGGGAUAACAGUUAGAAAUGACUGCUAAUACCGCAUAAGCGCACAGUACCGCAUGGUACAGCGUGAAAAACUCCGGUGGUAUGAGAUGGAUCCGCGUCUGAUUAGCUAGUUGGCGGGGUAACGGCCCACCAAGGCGACGAUCAGUAGCCGACCUGAGAGGGUGACCGGCCACAUUGGGACUGAGACACGGCCCAAACUCCUACGGGAGGCAGCAGUGGGGAAUAUUGCACAAUGGGCGAAAGCCUGAUGCAGCGACGCCGCGUGAGUGAAGAAGUAUUUCGGUAUGUAAAGCUCUAUCAGCAGGGAAGAAAAUGACGGUACCUGACUAAGAAGCCCCGGCUAACUACGAGCCAGCCGCCGCUGUAAGAC
rnacentral:rRNA from 1 species